GAUGAAGAACGUAGCGAAAUGCGAUAAGUAAUGUGAAUUGCAGAAUUCAGUGAAUCAUCGAAUCUUUGAACGCACAUUGCGCCCCCUGGUAUUCCGGGGGGCAUGCCUGUUCGAGCGUCAUUUCACCACUCAAGCCUCGCUUGGUAUUGGGCAACGCGGUCCGCCGCGUGCCUCAAAUCGACCGGCUGGGUCUUCUGUCCCCUAAGCGUUGUGGAAACUAUUCGCUAAAGGGUGUUCGGGAGGCUACGCCGUAAAACAACCCCAUUUCUAAGGUUGACCUCGGAUCAGGUAGGGAUACCCGCUGAACUUAAGCAUAUCAAUAGGGAGGA
rnacentral:misc_RNA from 1 species